GGUUGUACAAUAGGGAAAAACAAUCACUAUAAAUUUAUCGAAUGUAACAAUUUCUUACAACUACAGCAGCUUUGCGCUAUGGUUCUUAACCCUGCCACAAUGUCUAGGUACGAGUAUGUAGCCCGAAUUUGAUUAAAUAUUUGUAUUUGAUAAGACCAUAGACAAGCUAAGAUUUACUGCUUAGCUACAAUAUCUUAUAAAAAAGUUUGUCAACAUCAAAAACAAUUAAGUGGAUCUAUGCCAACAUACCUCAAUUUAAAUUGAGGAAUCAGUUUGCAUAGAAACAGACUGACGACGCAAUGCACUUUAUCGAGUCGUCAGUUAAAUAAUAAAACACAUGCUUAGCAUGCCAAGCGAAACAAGCAUCUUUAAAUCUUAGUCAAAAAAAAAAUAAACAGACUUUAAAGUAUACCUAUUAACGCAAGAAAAAAUUACUUUUUGCCAAGCCAAAGACCAAAUUCCCUUGUAAAUUUGAUGUUGAUUCCAUAAUGAUAAGAUUUGGAAGGAGAAUGUUAUUUGUUCUACCUUGUUAGAGUAUAUUCUAUGAGACUGAAAUCUAUGAAGACGGUGGAAAACUGUGCAAAAUGGAAUUAAAAUUUAAGAAUAUUAAAUGUACAAAAUAAAAAUACCUGUAUUACAUCAACUCGCUGACGAUCAUGCAUGGCACUUAAAAGUUCAC